UGGGGUUCAGCUCAGUGGUAGAGUGCUUGCCUAACAUGCAUGAAGCCCUGAGUUUGGUUUCUCAGUACCACAU
rnacentral:tRNA from 1 species